CUUGAUCAAUUAUAAGAGGUCAAGCCUGCCCAGUGACAUUGUUCAACGGCCGCGGUAUCCUAACCGUGCGAAGGUAGCGUAAUCACUUGUCCUUUAAAUAAGGACUAGUAUGAACGGCUUCACGAAGGCUAUACUGUCUCCUUAAUCUAAUCAAUUAAACUAAUCUCCCCGUGAAGAAGCGGGGAUUCGUCUAUAAGACGAGAAGACCCUAUGGAGCUUUAAACAUCUAAGACACUUGAUUAUAUCUACUAAACUUCAUGCAACCUAUCAUUUUGUUUUAAGUUUUAGGUUGGGGUGACCAUGGAGAAAAAUUAAACCUCCACGUAGAAAGAAAAUUCUUUUCUAAGCAAAAAGACACAUCUUAACGCAUCAAUAUAUUGACUUAAAUUGACCCA
rnacentral:rRNA from 1 species